rnacentral:sRNA from 12 species
GCUUUCAACAUCCCCGUUCCAGUUCGAGCGAAUGCGCACAGGCGUGUUGUCUCGUAUUUGGAGCUGAAGGC